AUGGACCCGGCCCAGGGAGCCGGCGGGCGACGCGGUGUCCUCAUCCAUGGUGCAUGUAUAAAUAGGUUCCUCCCCCGUCGACUCUGCACGCCUUAUCACCACACAACCCCAUACACACACGGUUCCUCAGAUUACGACUACGAUCGAGGAAGAGGAAGAAGAUACAAUAUGGCCCUGGGAGACGACUCUCCGGCCUCCUACAUCCGCAUGGUUCACCAUCUGAUAGAGAAGUGCAUGACGUUCGGGAUGAGCAUGGAGGAGUGCAUGGAGGCGCUGUCCAAGCGCGCCGACGUUCAGCCGGUCGUCACCUCCACAGUAUGGAAAGAGCUGGAGAAGGAGAACAAGGAGUUCUUCGACAGAUACAACAAGCAGUUGAGAUCAGAAAAGGGAGGCCGAAGCAGCUGCAGCAGCAGCAGCGACAGCAGCUCCUAA
rnacentral:rRNA from 1 species